rnacentral:rRNA from 4 species
GGGUUGUGAGGUUAAGCGACUAAGCGUACACGGUGGAUGCCCUGGCAGUCAGAGGCGAUGAAGGGCGUGCUAAUCUGCGAUAAGCGCCGGUAAGGUGAUAUGAACCGUUAUAACCGGCGAUACCCGAAUGGGGAAACCCAGUGUGACUCGUCACACUAUCAUUAACUGAAUCCAUAGGUUAAUGAGGCGAACCGGGGGAACUGAAACAUCUAAGUACCCCGAGGAAAAGAAAUCAACCGAGAUUCCCCCAGUAGCGGCGAGCGAACGGGGAGGAGCCCAGAGCCUGAAUCAGCAUGUGUGUUAGUGGAAGCGUCUGGAAAGGCGCGCGAUACAGGGUGACAGCCCCGUACACAAAAGCGCAUGUGCUGUGAGCUCGAUGAGUAGGGCGGGACACGUGGUAUCCUGUCUGAAUAUGGGGGGACCAUCCUCCAAGGCUAAAUACUCCUGACUGACCGAUAGUGAACCAGUACCGUGAGGGAAAGGCGAAAAGAACCCCGGCGAGGGGAGUGAAAAAGAACCUGAAACCGUGUACGUACAAGCAGUGGGAGCACAGGUUUACCUGUGUGACUGCGUACCUUUUGUAUAAUGGGUCAGCGACUUAUAUUCUGUAGCAAGGUUAACCGAAUAGGGGAGCCGCAGGGAAACCGAGUCUUAACCGGGCGUUAAGUUGCAGGGUAUAGACCCGAAACCCGGUGAUCUAGCCAUGGGCAGGUUGAAGGUUGGGUAACACUAACUGGAGGACCGAACCGACUAAUGUUGAAAAAUUAGCGGAUGACCUGUGGCUGGGGGUGAAAGGCCAAUCAAACCGGGAGAUAGCUGGUUCUCCCCGAAAGCUAUUUAGGUAGCGCCUCGUGAAUUCAUCUCCGGGGGUAGAGCACUGUUUCGGCUAGGGGGCCAUCCCGGCUUACCAACCCGAUGCAAACUGCGAAUACCGGAGAAUGUUAUCACGGGAGACACACGGCGGGUGCUAACGUCCGUCGUGAAGAGGGAAACAACCCAGACCGCCAGCUAAGGUCCCAAAGUCAUGGUUAAGUGGGAAACGAUGUGGGAAGGCCCAGACAGCCAGGAUGUUGGCUUAGAAGCAGCCAUCAUUUAAAGAAAGCGUAAUAGCUCACUGGUCGAGUCGGCCUGCGCGGAAGAUGUAACGGGGCUAAACCAUGCACCGAAGCUGCGGCAGCGACACUGUGUGUUGUUGGGUAGGGGAGCGUUCUGUAAGCCUGUGAAGGUGUGUCGUGAGGCAUGCUGGAGGUAUCAGAAGUGCGAAUGCUGACAUAAGUAACGAUAAAGCGGGUGAAAAGCCCGCUCGCCGGAAGACCAAGGGUUCCUGUCCAACGUUAAUCGGGGCAGGGUGAGUCGACCCCUAAGGCGAGGCCGAAAGGCGUAGUCGAUGGGAAACGGGUUAAUAUUCCCGUACUUGGUGUUACUGCGAAGGGGGGACGGAGAAGGCUAUGUUGGCCGGGCGACGGUUGUCCCGGUUUAAGCGUGUAGGUGUGUGUUCCAGGUAAAUCCGGUUCACUUUAACACUGAGGCGUGACGACGAGGCACUACGGUGCUGAAGCAACAAAUGCCCUGCUUCCAGGAAAAGCCUCUAAGCAUCAGGUAACAUCAAAUCGUACCCCAAACCGACACAGGUGGUCAGGUAGAGAAUACCAAGGCGCUUGAGAGAACUCGGGUGAAGGAACUAGGCAAAAUGGUGCCGUAACUUCGGGAGAAGGCACGCUGACAUGUAGGUGAAGUGAUUUACUCAUGGAGCUGAAGUCAGUCGAAGAUACCAGCUGGCUGCAACUGUUUAUUAAAAACACAGCACUGUGCAAACACGAAAGUGGACGUAUACGGUGUGACGCCUGCCCGGUGCCGGAAGGUUAAUUGAUGGGGUCAGCGCAAGCGAAGCUCCUGAUCGAAGCCCCGGUAAACGGCGGCCGUAACUAUAACGGUCCUAAGGUAGCGAAAUUCCUUGUCGGGUAAGUUCCGACCUGCACGAAUGGCGUAAUGAUGGCCAGGCUGUCUCCACCCGAGACUCAGUGAAAUUGAACUCGCUGUGAAGAUGCAGUGUACCCGCGGCAAGACGGAAAGACCCCGUGAACCUUUACUAUAGCUUGACACUGAACAUUGAGCCUUGAUGUGUAGGAUAGGUGGGAGGCUUUGAAGUGUGGACGCCAGUCUGCAUGGAGCCGACCUUGAAAUACCACCCUUUAAUGUUUGAUGUUCUAACGUGGACCCGUUACCCGGGUUGCGGACAGUGUCUGGUGGGUAGUUUGACUGGGGCGGUCUCCUCCUAAAGAGUAACGGAGGAGCACGAAGGUUGGCUAAUCCUGGUCGGACAUCAGGAGGUUAGUGCAAUGGCAUAAGCCAGCUUGACUGCGAGCGUGACGGCGCGAGCAGGUGCGAAAGCAGGUCAUAGUGAUCCGGUGGUUCUGAAUGGAAGGGCCAUCGCUCAACGGAUAAAAGGUACUCCGGGGAUAACAGGCUGAUACCGCCCAAGAGUUCAUAUCGACGGCGGUGUUUGGCACCUCGAUGUCGGCUCAUCACAUCCUGGGGCUGAAGUAGGUCCCAAGGGUAUGGCUGUUCGCCAUUUAAAGUGGUACGCGAGCUGGGUUUAGAACGUCGUGAGACAGUUCGGUCCCUAUCUGCCGUGGGCGCUGGAGAACUGAGGGGGGCUGCUCCUAGUACGAGAGGACCGGAGUGGACGCAUCACUGGUGUUCGGGUUGUCAUGCCAAUGGCACUGCCCGGUAGCUAAAUGCGGAAGAGAUAAGUGCUGAAAGCAUCUAAGCACGAAACUUGCCCCGAGAUGAGUUCUCCCUGAGACUUAGAGUCUCCUGAAGGAACGUUGAAGACGACGACGUUGAUAGGCCGGGUGUGUAAGCGCAGCGAUGCGUUGAGCUAACCGGUACUAAUGAACCGUGAGGCUUAACCUUACAACGCCGAAG